rnacentral:rRNA from 1 species
GGAUUAGAUACCCUGGUAGUCCACGCCGUAAACGAUGUGUGCUAGUUGUCAGGUCUUAGGGCUUGGUGACGGAGCGAAAGUUUUAAGCACACCGCCUGGGGAGUACGGCCGCAAGGCUAAAACUCAAAGGAAUUGACGGGGACCCGCACAAGCGGUGGAGCAUGUUCAUUAAUUCGAAGCAACGCGAAGAACCUUACCUACACUUGACAUCCUUCUUGGGGUUUUCAGAGAUGAUUACCUUCGGUUCGGCCGGGGAAGUGACAGGUGCUGCAUGGCUGUCGUCAGCUCGUGUUG